rnacentral:lncRNA from 1 species
GGAAACUUCAGGAAAUAAUAUAUAAGUGAAAGUCCCAGAAACCUGUCCAUAGGUUCGCAUUUGGUUAUUACGGACAAUACAAGAAAAUGUAUACAUACAUUUUUAUAUUUUGCCUUUUACAUUUAGUUUCCUCUGCUGUACCGAAAAGUAAAGGUAAGUGUAUUUUAGUGUUUUACAAGUUUCGGGCUCGUAUGCACAAAACUACUUACGUUAAGAUUUGUUCCAAAGGGAUG